rnacentral:rRNA from 1 species
UGAACGCUGGCGGCGUGCCUACUACAUGCAAGUCGAGCGAACAGACGAGGAGCUUGCUCCUCUGACGUUAGCGGCGGACGGGUGAGUAACACGUGGAUAACCUACCUAUAAGACUGGGAUAACUUCGGGAAACCGGAGCUAAUACCGGAUAAUAUAUUGAACCGCAUGGUUCAAUAGUGAAAGACGGUUUUGCUGUCACUUAUAGAUGGAUCCGCGCCGCAUUAGCUAGUUGGUAAGGUAACGGCUUACCAAGGCAACGAUGCGUAGCCGACCUGAGAGGGUGAUCGGCCACACUGGAACUGAGACACGGUCCAGACUCCUACGGGAGGCAGCAGUAGGGAAUCUUCCGCAAUGGGCGAAAGCUUGACGGAGCAACGCCGCGUGAGUGAUGAAGGUCUUCGGAUCGUAAAAUUCUGUUAUUAGGGAAGAACAAAUGUGUAAGUAACUAUGCACGUCUUGACGGUACCUAAUCAGAAAGCCACGGCUAACUACGUG